UAUCAUAGGGGCUCAAACUUCAUCAGUGGAACAAACCACUGAGAGAUAGAUCAUCAUAGCAUUAUUGAGAGGUGAUGGAAUUAGAAGAUGGGGCCUAGUUGAAGAGAGUGGGUCAUGGAGCUAUAAUCUUGGGAACUAUAUAAUGUCUCUGGCUCAUCCCAUUUCUCCUGGCUGCUAUGAAGUAACCAGCAUUCCUCCACUACCCCCUUUCUGCCAUGGUAUUCUUCUACCUCACCACAGACCCAGAAAAUAUGGAGCUGACAACUGUAGCCUAAAACUUCUGAAUGACAAAACAAAUCUUUCCUCUUGAACAGUGACUUAUGUCAGAAAAAGGUGCAUCAAUGAAGAUACAGCAUCAAGGGGAUGUUGGUUUUAUUUUUUGAAGUUGAUGGAAUCAUGCAAGCUGAGUUUUACCAAGGAACAGAAGGAGAGAAAAGUAACUAAGACAGGAAGCAAAAGGAAAGGACCUUGUGGAUAUUCAGAGAAGCACUUUUCUGGGAGAGAGAACAGGGAUAGAAAAGGGAACAGUUUUUUUCCACAA